rnacentral:lncRNA from 1 species
AGACUGAGAAAGCCAUGUGGAGCAAGCCAGUAAACAGCACUCCUCCACAGCCUCUGCAUCAGCUCCUGCUCCAGGUUCCUGCCUCAUGUUUGGCUGAAAGUGGAUAAAGCUCUAUUGUAAGAGACCCCGUGGGGUAGAAAGCAGGAAGAGCUGUGUAGUUUGAAGCAACAAGCCAGAAAGACAUAUCCUAUGUUCCUGGCCUGUGUGUACCUCUGUACCUGGGGACCAUUCAUGUUCCUUCAUGGACCAGAUCACAUCUACUGGCGUGGAGACCAGAGGCCAGAUUUAAGCUUUUCUUGCAGUCUCCGUGACAUUGGGCUGUAUGUGCCUCAUUAGAUGGGAUUCCAUCCAGUGCGUCCCAGGAACCGCCCUGCCAUCUCACUUAAGAUUCUUAGCAACCUGUAAGUUUGGAGCCUACCAUAAUUUCAUGUAAGAAUAUUGUAAAGGAAA